rnacentral:rRNA from 1 species
AGAACGAACGCUGGCGGCAGGCUUAACACAUGCAAGUCGAACGCGUGUAGCAAUACACGAGUGGCGCACGGGUGAGUAACGCGUGGAUAUCUGCCUUUUGGUUCGGAAUAACCCCGGGAAACUGGGGCUAAUACCGGAUGGUUCCUACGGGAUAAAGAUUUAUCGCCAAAAGAUGAGUCCGCGUACGAUUAGCUAGUUGGUGAGGUAAUGGCUCACCAAGGCGACGAUCGUUAGCUGGUCUGAGAGGACGAUCAGCCACACUGGGACUGAGACACGGCCCAGACUCCUACGGGAGGCAGCAGUGGGGAAUAUUGGACAAUGGGGGCAACCCUGAUCCAGCCAUGCCGCGUGAGUGAUGAAGGCCUUCGGGUUGUAAAGCUCUUUUGGCGGGACGAUGAUGACGGUACCGCAGAAUAAGCCCCGGCUAACUUCGUGCCAGCAGCCGC